rnacentral:rRNA from 1 species
UGGGGAAUAUUGCACAAUGGAGGGAACUCUGAUGCAGCGACGCCGCGUGAACGAAGAAGGCUUUCGAGUCGUAAAGUUCUUUUAUAUGGGAAGAUAAUGACGGUACCAUAAGAAAAAGCUCCGGCUAACUACGUGCCAGCAGCCGCUGUAAUACGUAGGGGGCUAGCGUUGUCCGGAAUCACUGGGCGUAAAGGGUUCGCAGGCGGAAAUGCAAGUCAGGUGUAAAAGGCAGUAGCUUAACUACUGUAAGCAUUUGAAACUGCAUAUCUUGAGAAGAGUAGAGGUAAGUGGAAUUUUUAGUGUAGCGGUGAAAUGCGUAGAUAUUAAAAAGAAUACCGGAGGCGAAGGCGACUUGCUGGGCUCAUUCUGACGCAGAGGAACGAAAGCGUGGGUAGCAAACAGG